rnacentral:misc_RNA from 1 species
AACUGAUACUACCUGCGGGAACCUGCGGAAGGAUCAUUAUCGAAUGUAAUAUGGGGGAUGUUGCUGGCCACUUUGGUGGUAAUGUGCACUCCCUCUUCAUUCAAAUCCACCUGUGCACAUCGAGUAGGCAUGGAUUCAGUUCUGUGCCUAUGUUUUCAUUCAUACGCGCUGUAUUGUAUGUCUUAGAAAUUGAAAUGUCUUGUACAACUUUUAGCAAUGGAUCUCUAGAUCGGAAGAGCA